CAGUUGGAUGUCUGGUGCUUUUGCCCCUCAUUCAGUUUGUCAUCUCCGUCCUUGAUAGGAGUGGUUGGUAGAUACUCAACGUUGGGCCAUCCCUGAAGUUCUUCUCCAUCAGUCCAUCUACAUUCCAUGUUGCUUCUCAGCAGUCGAUCGGUUACGAGUGAAGAUUCUUCUUUCUCUCAUUGCGUUUAUUUUAAAUCAUGACUUAGAGUAUUAAAAAAAAAAAU
rnacentral:lncRNA from 1 species